UUGUGCUUGUCGGAGUGCCUUUAAGGCUGAGACUGUUUUUAACAGAAUCCGUUACUACCUGAUCCAGUUAAUGCUGGCGUAGGGAACAAGGUUCAUUUCGGC
rfam:Succinatimonas sp. CAG:777 genomic scaffold, scf33